ACUCUACGGGAGGCAGCAGUGAGGAAUAUUGGUCAAUGGGCGCGAGCCUGAACCAGCCAAGUAGCGUGAAGGAUGACUGCCUAUGGGUUGUAAACUUCUUUUAUACGGGAAUAAGUCACUUACGUGUAAGUGUUUGUAUGUACUUAUGAAUAAGCAUCGGCUAACUCCGUGCCAGCAGCCGCGGUAAUACGGAGGAUGCGAGCGUUAUCCGGAUUUAUUGGGUUUAAAGGGAGCGUAGAUGGGCUUUUAAGUCAGUUGUGAAAUUCUGCGGCUCAACCGUAGGACUGCAGUUGAAACUGGGAGCCUUGAGUGCAGUUGAGGUGCAUGGAAUUCG
rnacentral:rRNA from 1 species